CCUACGGGAGGCAGCAGUGAGGAAUAUUGGACAAUGGUCGCAAGACUGAUCCAGCCAUGCCGCGUGCAGGAAGACGGCCUAUGGGUUGUAAACUGCUUUUGUUUGGGAAGCGGUACCAUACGAAUAAGCACCGGCUAACUCCGUGCCAGCAGCCGCGGUAAUACGGAGGGUGCAAGCGUUAUCCGGAUUUAUUGGGUUUAAAGGGUCCGUAGGCGGACCCAUAAGUCAGUGGUGAAAUCCUGCAGCUCAACUGUAGAACUGCCAUUGAUACUGUGGGUCUUGAAUUCGGUUGAAGUGGGCGGAAUAUGGCAUGUAGCGGUGAAAUGCUUAGAUAUGCCAUAGAACACCGAUUGCGUAGGCAGCUCACUAACCGGAUUGACGCUGAGGGACGAAAGCGUGGGUAGCGAACAGGAUUAGAUACCCUUGUAGUC
rnacentral:rRNA from 1 species